rnacentral:rRNA from 1 species
GUAGGGGGCAAGCGUUGUCCGGAAUUAUUGGGCGUAAAGCGCGCGCAGGCGGUCUCUUAAGUCUGAUGUGAAAGCCCACGGCUCAACCGUGGAGGGUCAUUGGAAACUGGGAGACUUGAGUGUAGGAGAGGAAAGUGGAAUUCCACGUGUAGCGGUGAAAUGCGUAGAUAUGUGGAGGAACACCAGUGGCGAAGGCGACUUUCUGGCCUACAACUGACGCUGAGGCGCGAAAGCGUGGGGAGCAAACAGGAUUAGAUACCCUGGUAGUCCACGCUGUAAACGAUGAGUGCUAGGUGUUAGGGGUUUCGAUGCCCUUAGUGCCGAAGUUAACACAUUAAGCACUCCGCCUGGGAGUACGGCCGCAAGGCUG